AUCUGGAAGAAUCUGGAGACAGGUGCUGCAUGGCUGUCGUCAGCUCGUGUCGUGAGAUGUUGGGUUAAGUCCCGCAACGAGCGCAACCCUUGCCUUUAGUUGCCAGCAGUUCGGCUGGGCACUCUAAAGGGACUGCCGGUGUUAAACCGGAGGAAGGUGGGGAUGACGUCAAGUCCUCAUGGCCUUUAUGACCAGGGCUACACACGUACUACAAUGGCCGAUACAAAGGGCAGCGACACUGCGAGGUGAAGCCAAUCCCGUAAAAUCGGUCUCAGUCCGGACUGGAGUCUGCAACUCGACUCCAUGAAGUUGGAAUCGCUAGUAAUCGUGGAUCAGCAUGCCACGGUGAAUACGUUCCCGGGCCUU
rnacentral:rRNA from 1 species